rnacentral:rRNA from 1 species
GAUGAACGCUGACAGAAUGCUUAACACAUGCAAGUCUACUUGAUUCUACUUCGGUAGUUGAUGGUGGCGGACGGGUGAGUAACGCGUAAAGAAUCUGCCCUUUAGUUUGGGAUAACCUUUGGAAACGAAGGCUAAUACCGGACAUUAUGGAGACGUCGCAUGGCGACUCCAUGAAAGCUAUAUGCGCUAGAGGAGGACUUUGCGUCCCAUUAGUUAGUUGGUGAGGUAACGGCUCACCAAGACCGCGAUGGGUAGCCGGCCUGAGAGGGUGAUCGGCCACAAGGGAACUGAGACACGGUCCUUACUCCUACGGGAGGCAGCAGUGGGGAAUAUUGGACAAUGGGCCACAAGCCUGAUCCAGCAAUUCUGUGUGCACGAUGAAGGUCUUCGGAUUGUAAAGUGCUUUCAGUAGGGAAGAAAAAAAUGACGGUACCUACAGAAGAAGCGACGGCUAAAUAUGUGCCAGCAGCCGCCGUAAAAC